AUUUCCUUAGUAUAUUAAGUACAUUUGACUUCCAAUCAAAAAGUCUAAUUUUAGAGAAAAUA
rnacentral:tRNA from 1 species